UCGAAACCUUAUGGUUCCUUUGAUCUUGARAAACCAACAUGCUUGUAAGACUUCAUGACUUUGUCCAUGAAGAGUUGGGAGUAUCAGCCCACCAUUUUAAUCCGUUUGGAGGUGUCUACGUACAACAUGAGACGUUUGCGGAUGGCGUCCGUGAUUGUUGUGCAAAGUUCGUGCAUCGUAAGAUGUGCUGAGCUAUAGACUUGAUGAGCACUGCUUGAGUGCCGCCUCUAUGUUUGUACUGGUGGUUGAGCAUUAGGCUGUCGCCAGCCUUCUGCAACACCUGCUGGUCAGGAAAUCUUAAUGACUCGCUUCGGCGAGCGCCAGUACAAAUGAACCUUUUACAUUUAACGUUUGAAGAUACGUGGCUUUCGAGUCACAAUCGACUAGCUUCAGCGAUGGAUCGGUCGAUUCGCGUAUCGAUGAAAAACGCAGCUAGCUGCGUUAUUUACCACGAAUUGCAGACGCUUAGAGUGGUGAAAUUUUGAACGCAUAGCGCCGUUGGGUUUUCCCUUCGGCACGUCUGGUUCAGGGUUGUUUUCAAUAUACUACAGUGUGGCCUGUUUAACACUGUUUGUCGAACGACGCUUGUGCACAUGUGCGCAGUCCUCGUUCUAGAUGAGAACUAUAUUGCAACAUGUACAUUUUUGAAUGUACACGAAUGUCUAGACCGUGUUGUCUCUGUCAAAUGUAUUAAGCGAGUAAUAAUACUUUGACGGGGCUUGUAUGGACAAUGCGUCAAGUCUAUGUCAUUUGCAA
rnacentral:misc_RNA from 1 species